AUUGUUACUUUCAUAUUGUUAAAAAAUUAAAUAAAGUUUUAUUUAACGUAAUUAAUAAGUUAAUUAUGGUAAAUAACAACUGAAAAGUUAACUAGAAGUUUGAAAUCAAGUAUAAAGUACAUUUAGUAAUAAUACUUAUUUUUUUAGUAGCGGCUAUGUAUCGUCAUUUUAUGUAAUAAUUUGUAAUUUAGUACACUUAUUUAUAAAUAUAUGUCAUUAUAAUAUUCUUCACAUAUAAAAUAUUUAUACGUGAAUAAAAUUGCUUUUCUUGCGCUGCUUGUGAAGUCUACAUAAUUAUAUACAAGUUCCCUACUCGAUCAGCAGGUGCAAUUGCACGGGAGGGGAGAUAUUUAUGGUGAAUUACUAUGGAAACCCAUGUAUAAAACUUCAGAUCUCAGGAACUUCAAUGAACUUAGCUUUCUAUGCGUUUAUCUAUAUCUCAUAAGUUUUUAGGUUAAAUUAGUUUAUUAUAACAAGUUUCCUGGAGACAAAAAUAUCGCAGCUGUGUGUAUGCGUGUACAUACAAUGAAUGGAAUUAUUCACGAGAAAGGUAAGAAAGAAAAGCGCAUUCAAGCUCCGCCUUGUGGGAAAGUGCGUUCCGUUGAAAGCACGAGAUGCAGGAAAUCCCUGUUGAAGUUAAAGCAGCAAGAGUACUUGAUGGAAAAGAGUCUCGCCAACUUGAUGGAGAACAUGAAACUGGAACCAGAAGUUCUACGACCCGUUUUGCAUAAUAUGAGUGACAUCUCGAAAAACAGGCAGAUUUUUCUAAAUAGCGUGAGAAAACCCUUGAAGGAAAUUAUUGAGGAACUACAAUCGGCGCAAUCAAUCACAAAUUGUCCCGAGCAUAUCCAGAAAUUAGAUACAAGUGCAUACAAACAACGGCUCGUGAGAUUGUCCCAAAAAAUUCGAGACUUUCAAGAGUCUUGCCAACUGCGGAUUGCAACUUUGUCGCAGGAGCAAACUGCCCUCGAAUCUGAAUUACGUGAAUUUGAAUCGAAUUUGCAUAAGUAUGAGAAUGCAACCAGUAGUAUCGGCAAACCGACGUCCGCCGCGUCUUCUAACAAGGAAAAUAAAAAGUGUUAUGAUUAUAAGGAGAUCGAGGACUUCCACGAGUUAAUUGCUAAAACAGGCCACACUGAUAACUGGAGCGACGAGGAUCAUCUGUUGUUCCUGAAAAUGAGGAAGAAGUGCAGCAACAUUCCUGCUCUUGUGGCUGCCAUUCGAGUCAAAUGUCCGGAUUUAACAGUGGAGACUAUAGUGAAUCAUGAAGCUUGGUACAAGGUUUAUCUGAGCCUGCGUGAAAGGCAACGAUCGAGCGUCAGAGAGUGGCGCAAACAAAAAGAAAUGGAGAAGAUGAAGAUGAAAAAUCACGAGGAUGAAACUACUGCCAAAACCUUGGAAGAAAUUUCACGAGAGAAAAGAAACUCCAAUAUCACAGAUCUUUCAACUUGCGUGAUGAAUAAAUCCGAAGAGAGAAUAACAAAGACUGACAACUCUGUUGAUAUCAAUAAUCAGAAGAAGGAAUUAAUAAGACAGUGGAAAGCAGAGAGAGAGAAUAAACGUUUGAUGGACGAGGAACAGUUGAAGAUUCUGAUAAAGUCAAAGUAUGCCUUGCAAGAAAAACGUAAAAGGGAGAGAUUGAAAAGACUUCGGGAAGUUUUGGCGGAGCACCGUGAAAGAAAAUCGAUUGAAGUUUCUUUCCAAACUUCGAAAGACGAUUCGAGACCAAAGUACAAUCCAAUGUUAAUUAAGGCAUUUAGGAAACAAGAUGCAGAAUAUACAAGAAGAAAAAAGAAUUUAAUAACGAAACGGAAAUUGAUUAAAAAUCAAACGGUAAAAAUCGUAAGAUUGCAAACAACAAAAAAACAAGAUCACUCGACUCUGUUCAAUUCGACUGAAGUAUGGAGAGAAAAAUGCAGAAUAUACGAUCCUAACAUGAAGGAGCCAAAAAAGUUGCAAUAUAUCAAAGACGUUCCACGUUUAUACGUCCAAUGGAGAAACAAGGAAUCGAUGGAGAUUAAGGAUGCUCUGGCAUUUUCUUAAUGUCAAAAAAAUCUUUUCUCGCUUUAGCCAAGGUUCCUUCGCAGUUUGACGAAAAAGACAAAGAACAUAAUAAGUUAUGAGUAAACGAGUGUUGAAUUUAUCCAGGACCGUCGUUUCGCGCAUAUUCAGCUUUACAAUAUUAUAUUAUAAAUUGCGGUUCUCUUUUUGUUUCCAUAACUUUUAUUUUAUUUUCAGGAACAAAAAAAAGAUAAAGGAAUAAGGGAAGAGGAUCACCAUCGUCGACGUCAUCUCGGAUAACUUCAACCCUCGGCGGCAUUUUACUCAAAUAUAUAUAUAUAUAUAUAUAAUAUACUUUCUAUCAAUCUUUUUCUGUUCGUUAAUUUCAGAUAUUCUUUCGUUUAGGUUACCAAAUACAAAAACACAUAAGUGAUACAAUAUAUAUAAUAUAUAUAAUAUGCUAUAAUACAAAAAAAUGUACUGUAUCGCGCCGAAUAUGAUAGUUCGACGACAGUACGACAGUUCGCUCGCAGUAGUUUAAAAUUCCUCUUUAAUAAUUAUCACUAUUAUUAUUAUUAUAAUUGUUUACAUAUCGCAGGAUAAUCCUACACGGCGCGAUACAGUGGCAUCUCUCACUCUUUGUGAGAAUACGCGCAAAGACCCUAUAAUGUACUCUUUUUUUGUUUCUCGCUUUAGUGUUUGUAUUUAUAUUUAUUUGUAUUUAUACUCUUGUUUUUAUUUAUUUAUAUAUGUAUACGUAGAAAUAUAAUUAUUUAGAAUUUAUUAAUGCAUACUUAGGAGGUUGUUUUAUUACAACGAACGAUAAAUCGUAUUUAACACAUACUCUGUUUCACUCACGCUCUCUCGAUUGAUACACACGUCACAGCAACGACUGUCGCGCGAUUUCUUUUUUAUCACUAACCUUUCCAAAACCCAAAUGAUAAAUAUAUACACGUGUGAACAUUUGUACAGUGAAGCCUCCCUUUCGUCCCCUAUAACGUAUUAUUAACAUUUGUUUUGUUUUUUGUUUUUUUUAAUUAACGGUAAAGUCCAUGUGUAUCGCGCUAUCUCUCGUCUCGGUAGACUAAUUUUUGCCCUGUUA